CCCAGACAGCCAGCAGGAGGCACCACUGGUAAUCCAAACUGACAGAAAAAUAACCGUGAAAAGCAUGACCAGAAAAAGCAUUCGAAUGGUUGAAAUUUCUAGCAUUCUUUGAGAUAAUGGAGAGCAAACCCUGCAGAUACAGGGACACAAAUGGCAAUUACUAUAACACCAGAGCUUAGAUGUCUACAUCAAUCACAUCAUGGUCAGGCAUGGAGAACUAUAAACUUUGAAAAGAUGCCCCUGAGGAGGGAGUCUCUGAGAAUGAAAAAGUUAAUUGUGACAAUUAGGGU